rnacentral:rRNA from 1 species
AGAGUUUGAUCAUGGCUCAGGACGAACGCUGGUGGCGUGCUUAACACAUGCAAGUCGAACGGUGAAGCCCCUUCGGGGGUGGAUCAGUGGCGAACGGGUGAGUAACACGUGAGCAACCUGCCCCCUACUUCGGGAUAAGCCUUGGAAACGGGGUCUAAUACCGGAUAUGAACACUUGUCGCAUGGUGGGUGUUGGAAAGUUUUUCGGUGGGGGAUGGGCUCGCGGCCUAUCAGCUUGUUGGUGGGGUAAUGGCCUACCAAGGCGUCGACGGGUAGCCGGCCUGAGAGGGCGACCGGCCACACUGGGACUGAGACACGGCCCAGACUCCUACGGGAGGCAGCAGUGGGGAAUAUUGCACAAUGGGCGAAAGCCUGAUGCAGCGACGCCACGUGAGGGAUGACGGCCUUCGGGUUGUAAACCUCUUUCAGCAGGGAAGAAGCGUGAGUGACGGUACCUGCAGAAGAAGCGCCGGCUAACUACGUGCCAGCAGCCGCGGUAAUACGUAGGGCGCAAGCGUUGUCCGGAAUUAUUGGGCGUAAAGAGCUCGUAGGCGGUCUGUCGCGUCUGGUGUGAAAUCCCAUGGCUCAACUGUGGGCUUGCAUCGGGUACGGGCAGACUAGAGUGCUGUAGGGGAGACUGGAAUUCCUGGUGUAGCGGUGGAAUGCGCAGAUAUCAGGAGGAACACCGAUGGCGAAGGCAGGUCUCUGGGCAGUUACUGACGCUGAGGAGCGAAAGCAUGGGGAGCGAACAGGAUUAGAUACCCUGGUAGUCCAUGCCGUAAACGUUGGGCACUAGGUGUGGGGCCAGUUCCACUGGUUCUGUGCCGCAGCUAACGCAUUAAGUGCCCCGCCUGGGGUGUACGGCCGCAAGGCUAAAACUCAAAUGAAUUGACGG